rnacentral:lncRNA from 1 species
CUUCAAUGGAUAGAACCGGACACCCCAUUUAUAUAAUGUUUACUGUAGUCAGGGGCGAAUCCAGGUACUGGCGAGCUAGGGCGGCCGCCCUAGCUGGAUCCGCCAGAAUGUUCACUACCGCCGGGCACCAGAACCAAAAGUUGCAGUUGCAGAGAAAGAAGCCGAGGAAGAUGAAUGAAUUCCAUCUGGGUUACGUUUUUUUUUUUUUUUUUUUUUUUCAGUUUGGGCCCUUUUAUUUGGGCUAACCAGUGAUUGAUGGGCCUCCUUAUUUAUGAACAUUAGGUCCAAAUCCAAUCCAUAUAUUUUGAUCGAAGUGGAGUUGUUGCUGCUGAGUGUUGACACUUGACGGGCGGCGAGUGGUGUUGGGUGACGAGAUGACUCGCCGUCGACCUUCCAAUCUCCAGUCUUAGAGUCUCAGAGUGUGAAUCUGUGAUCCCCUUUUCUUUCUCUCUCUCUAUUUUUUUUGUUUUUCGUUUUUUUUUCGUUAAAUUUUUGUUUUUGGUUUUUGUCCUGUGUUUUGUCAAUGAUAUAGCAGAGUAAAUUUCGUUUAAGGGGUUUGAAGAUGAUUGUCGAGUGUUGAUUACUGGGGAGCCUUCUUAAUGAUGCAUUUCAAAGAGAAGUUGGGAACCAAUUCAUGGAGAAAGUUUAAAGGACUCUGAACUAGAGUCCUCGCUCAGGUUCCUUCAGAUUUUUUUUUUUUUCAACGCUGACUCUUGAAGAUUUUUUUGUUUUUCAUUUGUUCUUCCUGCUUUCCUAAUUUGUCGUCGUUGUUGUUAUUAUUAUUAUUUAUUUAUUUAUUUUGCAGAAUUUUCUCAUAUCUGUUUUAAUAUGCAUUUGGUCUAUUAAAUUUGAGAGUGCAUUUUGUUGCAUCAUUGUUCCUCCUUUUUUUCCCCUUUUCCGAGAGAAUGUUGUAUGCUAGUUGUAUGUACGUGGAUAAUGUUAUCAAUCUUGUAUGUCC